GAGUUUGAUCCUGGCUCAGAACGUACGCUGGCGGCACGCCUAACACAUGCAAGUCGAACGAAGUAGCAAUACCUAGUGGCAGACGGGUGAGUAACAUGUAGGUAUCUGCCCUUUGGCCUGGAAUAACACGAGGAAACUUGUGCUAAUACUGGAUAAGUCUUUACGGAGAAAGCUUUAUGCACCAUUGGAUGAGCCUGCACUUGAUUAGUUUGUUGGUGGGGUAAUGGCCUACCAAGACUGUGAUCAAUAGCUGAUUUGAGAGGAUGAUCAGCCACAUUGGGACUGAGACACGGCCCAAACUCCUACGGGAGGCAGCAGUGGGGAAUCUUGCACAAUGGAGGAAACUCUGAUGCAGCGAUGCCGCGUGAGUGAAGAAGGCCUUUGGGUUGUAAAGCUCUUUCGUCGGGGAAGAAAAUGACUGUACCCGAAUAAGAAGGUCCGGCUAACUUCGUGCCAGCAGCCGCGGUAAUACGAAGGGACCUAGCGUAGUUCGGAAUUACUGGGCUUAAAGAGUUCGUAGGUGGUUGAAAAAGUUGGUGGUGAAAUCCCAGAGCUUAACUCUGGAACUGCCAUCAAAACUUUUCAGCUAGAGUAUGAUAGAGGAAAGCAGAA
rnacentral:rRNA from 1 species